UUAUUUUAUUUUAUUUUAUUUUUUUAUUUUAUUAUUUUAUUUUAUUAUUUUUUAGAUUUUAUUUAUUUAUUCAUGAGACAUACAGAAAGAGAGGCAGAGAUAUAUGCAGAGGGAGAAGCAGGCUCCUUGUAGGAAGCCUGAUACAAGACUAGAUCCCAGGACCCCAGGAUCAUGACCUGGGCCAAACACAGAUGAUCAACCACUGAGCCACCCAGGUGCCCCAACCAGAUUUCAAUACCAUUUUAUUCUUUGGUAGACUUUACAAGGAAAUUCACAUCCAUUUCACUAGAUGUUGUAUUUCAUUAUUGAUCAACUAAUUUUAAAUUUCAGGAAAACUUUCAAGCUUCAUCUAUUCAGACCACUAAUUCAGAAUGUGCAAAUGUUCAAAACAAGUGGUUACUAUUGUAAACACUUCAAAUAGUUGACUGAAUUUCUGAAGUCCUUUUUGAGAGAAUUCAAUUCUAAAUCAAUAUUUUAAGAAAAUAAAUGUUAAAGAGACAUCAGAAUUUGUAUUUUUUGUAUGUAAUUUUAACUUACAAUUACUUCUUUGCAUUUUUUAUGUUUAUAGCAUAAAAUCACAAUGAAAUAAUUGUUUACCGGAACCUGAACGCCCAAUUUUUUUAUAUACUAUUUAUCUUCUAAUCAUAAAUUUCCUCAGGCCUAGGGAAAUCUAAAUGUUCUUUAAACUCAUAAAAAUCUUACUCUUGGUCAGUUGGCUGGAUAACAUUUUUUUUCUCAAGGUUUCCUCUUAUAGAGAUAAUAGUCAUAAAUACUUAUAUUCCACAGAUAAGGAAACAGAAAUUUCUUAUCUUGGUUAGAAAGAGAAAAAAUUCCAGGGCCAAUAAAUAGAGUUUUCAUGUUCUUAUCUCUGAAAACAUUUCAUUUCUAAUUGGGAAAAUUCACUAAGGUAUUAAUGAUAAAUGUAUCCAUUUUAGCUUUGAGUCAAGCUGCUUUGACAUCUUACCACUUCUGGAUUUGUGAAAACCCUUUUAAAAGCCAUGACUAUUGGGAGAAAAAUACAAGCCUAUUUAACAUCUUUUGCAUUGUUUAUCAUAGUGGUCCUUUUAGUAGCUGUGUGAAUGCUUAUCCUCAGUCCCCACCCAUUGGCCACUAAUUAAUGUACCGGGGCAAUUUCUUCCUGACGCCACAUCUGUUGAUAUAGCUAUGAAAAUUGACUGAAGGUACAUGAUAAGGUUUCCAUAGUGACUUGAUUUUACUGAGGAAUGGGAGAAAAAUGGGACAAGGAAAGAUCAUAAGAAAAAACUGCAUAUUUUCAUUAUUGUUUUCUCAAAUUGCAUUCUAAUUUUCUGUGGUGCCAACAGAGAGGCUACAAACAUUGAUUCUUUAGGACUAAAACAAAAAACCUCACGAAACUUUGAAAGAGGAAGCCAAAUGUUGCUCUUUUCCCCAAAUGAAGUGCUUUUGGUUGACAAAGGUUAGUUGUUAAUCACCCUAAUGAUGCUUUGAUGAAGGAGGUUGAGUGUAUUAGCUAAAUUCUAACCAACAGGUCUUAAAGGGACGAAAGGGGCUCUUUUUCAAGUUGUGCUGAGUGACCGCUCCAAAAUACACCGCUUUUCCCAGUCCUACCUUGUCAGGAAUGAAUGAACUCAACGAUAUGCUAACAGAUGAAGACCACGAUAUUGCUCAGCAUUUGUGACCAGCACCCACUGUCUAAUCUUAUAUUUUGAAGAGGUUUAUCACUGUCUAUAACUGCAUUGAUGCUUAAGUACAAAUACCUAACAAUACAAAGCAUCACAUCCACAAUCUUUUAAUUAUGGAGAUAUCCUUUAAUGGGAGAGGGAGUGUAAGAGCAAUCCUUUGCUCUUAGAUACAACUGUUUUAGAAAGAUGGCAUCAUUCAGAGUCCUUUUCCAAAAGGGAGCAAAUGUUCUCCUUUUGUGUGUGUGUGUGUGUGUGUGCAUGUGUGUUUGCACAAAAGCAACAUGCUCUUUAGUAUUUUAAAGAAUAUGAGUUCCCAUGGAGAGAAAUGGAUUUUAAAAAAAAGAGGGUAAUUUAUUGGUUCUGAGUUAUAUCAUACUGUAUCUUUUUGAAGUUUAGGCUUUGAAUGUCACUGCACAUACAAAUAAAUGCCAUAUUUAUUUGUAAGCACCAUGGUGUUGGGAAGACAAAAUAGGUUUUAAAUUCAGUCAUACCUGGGUUUGAAUCUCUGCCACAUGUUAGCUGUGUGAUUAUUGCAAGAUUAUUUCAUCUGCUUGAGCUAUAAUUUUCUUAUUCACACAAAUAGGAAUGACACUGACACCUUUCUUGCAAGAUUGUUGUAAACGUUCAUCAAGAUCACAUUGGUAGAACGUUUAAUGGUGUGUCUGGGAAAAAGUAACAGUAACUCUUAGAUCCCUUUUCUCUCCCCAUAAAAUAAUAUAGCUUGAUUUAGGCUAAUAAAAUCUCGUAUUACAGAGAAUAAUCAUAAUUUUUUUGCCACUGGGCUUAUGAGAAGGGGAAGGAAAUGAAAGAAUUUAUUUAUUCUUGAAAAUAAACCAAAGGAGGGGCAGCCCCAGUGGUGCAGCGGUUUAGCGCCGCCUGCAGCCCAGGGAGUGAUCCUGGAGACCCUGGAUCGAGUCCCACGUCAGGCUCCCUGAAUGGAGCCUGCUUCUCCCUCUGCCUGUGUCUCUGCCUCUCAUUCUCUCUGUGUCCCUAUGAAUAAAUAAAAUCUUUAAAAAAAAAAAAAAAAAAAAAAGAAAAUAAACCAAAGGAGAACUAGUGGUUCACAAGUCUUAACACUUGUAGACAAGUUGUGUUUUGGGGCUGAAAAGUGGUAUCUCAGCUCUUCAUAGCUUCACCCCUGUCUGUCUCACUCAAAAUUCAGAGCAUUCAUUGCCUUGGGCAAACCCUGAAGGAGGGGGCCAAGUUUCUGAUUCUUCCACAGAAUCUUCUGAUUCUUCUUUUGAUUGGUGAUUUCUAAAUCAGGAUUAUGUAGUUUUAAAGUUAGAAUUUCAGACUUGGAAGAGCUAUUACAACAGAGUGGCUUAAAUUUUAAGGCACAUUAGAAUCACUAGAGAAGCUUGAUCAAAAUGGAGAUUUGCAGGACCUAUCCCAAAAGAUUCUCAUUCUGGAGAUAUAGGCUCCCAGUACCUGCACUUUUUAAAAUUUUAAUUUAAAUUCCAGUUAGUUAACAGACAGUGUAAUAUUAGUUUCAGGUGUACAAUAUAGUGAUUCAACACUUUCAUACAACAUCCGGUGCUCAUCACAACAGAGCACUACUUAAUCUCUGUCACCUAUGUAGCCCUUCACCUUCCCACCUCCCACCUCCCUUCUGGUAAAAAGUAUCCUAAGUAUCUCUGAUUCAGUCGCACACACACCCACAUAGAACAUCCCAUGCCUUAGGGCUGUCUAAUUGAAGGUUUUAACCAGUGUGGGGUCAUAUGGCUUCUGACACAACCGAACUGCCAGGGGAGGCUUUGGGUUUUGUGGAGACUGAAGCUUAUAUAGUUUGGGGUCUGUUUUUAAGAAAAGUAACAAAGGGCAGCCUGGGUGGCUCAGGGCAGCCCGGUGGCUCAGUGGGUUAGCACCACCUUCAGCCCAGGACAUGACCCUGGAGACCCGGGAUCGAGUCCCACGUCAGGCUCCCUGCAUGGAGCCUGCUUCUCCCUCUGCCUGUGUCUCUGCCUCUCUCUUUCUCUCUGUGUCUCUCAUGAAUAAAUAAAUAAAAUCUUAAAAAAAAAAAAAAAAAAAAAAA
rnacentral:lncRNA from 1 species